CUUGUGCCAGCCGCCGCGGUAAUACAGAGGGUGCAAGCGUUAAUCGGAAUUACUGGGCGUAAAGCGCGCGUAGGUGGUUCGUUAAGUUGGAUGUGAAAUCACCCGGGCUCAACCUGGGAACUGCAUUCAAAACUGACGAGCUAGAGUAUGGUAGAGGGUGGUGGAAUUUCCUGUGUAGCGGUGAAAUGCGUAGAUAUAGGAAGGAACACCAGUGGCGAAGGCGACCACGCUGGACUGAUACUGACACUGAGGUGCGAAAGCGUGGGGAGCAAA
rnacentral:rRNA from 1 species